rnacentral:misc_RNA from 1 species
CAGCAGGAAGGCCUGACGCGGAAGCGCCGUGAGAUUCGUAAGCCGCUGUUCGGAGGCCUGCGCAGGGCCCCUGUCGGCGCUCUCGUUCAAGGACACGGAAUUCCAGAUCUGCGUGAAAAGCCUGAACAANNNNNNNNNNUUUUCUUCCAGCAGCGAGGGGUCUUGCAGCAGGGCUUCAAGCAUGGCUGCGACAUAGGCAU